GACGCGUCCGGCCCGCUGGCGGAGGCGCUGACCUACCGGGUCGGCGACGCGGGAGUGACGGUACGGUCCGCCGCCGGAUCGCGGCUC
rnacentral:tRNA from 1 species